AGAACUGGGCAUGUAGAGCUAGGCUACACAAACCAUGCCAAAGGCUUACCAAGGAACUGUGCCAGCAACUGGUGAAAAUAGAAGAUGCUUCAGCUGGUUUUGGGAACCAAACAAACACUGAACAAAGUGGAUGUAGUUCUGGUCUUUAUGGAGCAUACUGCCUCUGAGCUUAUACAAUCCCAUAUAAAUGCUCUAUCAUCUGUUUGCUAAUGGCUGGAAACACAUGAGCAUGGUGACUCUUGAAGCUAUGUGUUGAAAACAGAAGAACCACACAUUGAAAGCAGCUUGAAUUUCUGAAACUCUGCACUGAAGGCCACCCACCAAAUGCGAGAAUUGGACUGUUAUGUAUACACUCAGAGGAAAAACAAAAACAAC